rnacentral:misc_RNA from 1 species
AGACAAGCAUAUGACUACUGGCAGGAUCAACCAGGUAGCAUUCCUCAUCGACGUCGAUCUCCGCAUGAACCGAGCCAAUAGUAGACUCCGUCACAACGGGAACGAACGUCGUCCGCAUGAAGCGUCGAACGCUCUUUAUUUCGGGGUAAAUAGAGGUCGAUGACCUCGUACCGCAUCGCUAUUCCGCAUCCGAGAGAACGAGCGCUACGACAAGGGCCWACGAGUACGAGCGUUGAGUGCGCACGAAUCGUGGAUCAAAUCGAGUGCUUCGUUGUCCACCCCGCACCGCAUCCCGGAAGGGCGCAACACAAGGAGGAAUAGGGUAAUCGGGACAACAUCAUGCCUUCUCGAUAGGUAUACAACACAGGAAACCGACGUCGGUCAAGGCAAUCCGCAACUUGAGCCAACAAUUGAAGAGGCUUGCACGAGAUGCCGUCGCUGCCCGAGCAGGGAACCGACAUGCCCAUACAAACCAAUCACCACUCACGCGCUC